ACUUUACGGAUCACACUAUGUGACAUAUCAUUCAAGUUUCUGACCUAUCAGCUUUAGACGGUAGGGUAUUGGCCUACCGUGGCUAUGACGGGUAACGGGGAAUUAGGGUUCGAUUCCGGAGAGGGAGCCUGAGAAACGGCUACCACAUCUAAGGAAGGCAGCAGGCGCGCAAAUUACCCAAUCCUAAUACAGGGAGGUAGUGACAAGAAAUAACAAUACAGAGCCUUACGGUUUUGUAAUUGGAAUGAGUUAAGUAUAAACCCCUUAACAAGUAUCAAUUGGAGGGCAAGUCUGGUGCCAGCAGCCGCGGUAAUUCCAGCUCCAAUAGCGUAUAUUAAAGUUGUUGCAGUUAAAAAGCUCGUAGUUAAUUUUCUGUUAAUUUUUAUAUACAAUGCUACGGUAUUUAUAUAAUAUUAACAUAAUUCAUAUUACUUUUUAAGUAUAUGAAACUUUACUUUGAGAAAAUUAGAGUGCUUAAAGCAGGCUAUUGCCUUGAAUACUCCAGCAUGGAAUAAUAUUAAGGAUUUUUAUUCUUCUUAUUGGUUCUAGAAUAAAAAUAAUGAUUAAUAGGGACAGUUGGGGGCAUUUGUAUUUAACAGUCAGAGGUGAAAUUCUUAGAUUUGUUAAAGACAAACUACUGCGAAAGCAUUUGCCAAGGAUGUUUUCAUUAAUCAAGAACGAAAGUUAGGGGAUCGAAGACGAUCAGAUACCGUCGUAGUCU
rnacentral:rRNA from 1 species